CAUAAACCCGGUUCGAUGUCGUCCAUCGAACUCGCCCAUCGCCCGGUUCGAUGUCCAAUUGAUGCUAUAAAAUAGACCCCAGCAUCGAAGCUUUUCGAGAAAGACUCGCCCAUCGAACUCGCCUUCCCGCCCUCUCUUGAUCCCAUGGCCGAUCCCGGGUUCUGGUGAAGCAAGAGCAAUCGCGGAGGUGCAAGAUGGAGAUCUUCUGUCGCCGCGGAGCCAAUCCCCUUCCAGGUUGGCCGAUCGAUCGAUACCUGAACUAUAUCCUAUCACCUUAUCCCCUUCUUGCUGGUUCUCUGGACCGGCGAUUCUGCUCUGAUGGUGUAGAUCAAGAUCGCGGACUGGGACACGGAGAAAGACAUCUUCCCAACCGAGUCUUCUUGAUUCGCGUUCUUUCGUUUCAAGCCUAGGAUGUCUUGCAUCGUUGAAUCUGCCAAAGAAUUCGUUCGCAAAGUGCAACCUCGCGCAGGUCCUAGAAUAUGCAAAAGGAGAAGGCCGAUUAGUCUUGAAGGCGAGCAAUGGACAAGUCAUGAUGUCUUGCUCAAAAUCACAGUGUUCAAGCAAUUUGACAAGCACUUGAAAGACAAGCUGAACACUUGGUGGCCAAUAAGAGUCUCAAGCUCAACGAGUAUCAACUUGUGCACAAGAAAGAGACGGCAACGGUGGUUUAUUAUAUAUGAGUGUGAAGGUACUCUUUUCUAAAAAUAUGAUUUGUGCUAAGGAUAGAUAUGAUCAUGCGGAGUUAUUAUUAAACUAAGUAGAAGCUCUCUACAAAUAAAGCUCGAUGAUAAGAUUUUCUAACUGAA